CCCCGCCUCUGUGCAUUGUGGGAUGGCUGGACUUUAAUGACCGCCAUGUUGGCCAUGGCGUAUUGAAGCCGACAAAAGGAACCCAAACGGACCGGCGGCAAAAACACGCCUUUCUUCCGCUUCAAACCCCGAUUUCUCUUCACGGAAUGGAACUAGGAUCUUCAGACUCUCAUCCAUGAUAGGUUCCGGGCGGCUCCGUGCACGUUUUGCUGGGUACAGGCGUCAACAUUUCAUCGGCUGUUGAAAAAAAAGCGCAUCUUAUAUAUAUAUUUAUAUAUUUCCUUCCACCAUCACCGAACCCCCCCCUCCCCCUCCCCUCUCCCUUCCCCUUUCCCCACCACCACCCCCUCCUCCUCCUCCCUCCCGCGGUGGUGUUUGGGUUUGUAAUUCGCCGCGAAUACGGGCACACAAAUCGAGGGAGAGCGAGAAUAAUGAGCAAACUGUCGUUUCGGGCAAGGGCGCUCGAUGCAUCGAAACCCCUGCCCGUGUACCGGUGCGAGGACUUGCCGGAUCUGCACGAAUAUGCCUCAAUCAACCGCGCCGUGCCCCAGAUGCCCACGGGGAUGGAGAAAGAGGAAGAAUCGGAACAUCAUCUUCAGCGGGCUAUUUCAGCACAACAGGUCUAUGGAGAGAAACGGGAUAAUAUGGUUAUUCCUGUUCCAGAGGCGGAAAGCAACAUUGCCUACUAUGAAUCUGUCUACAGUGGGGAGUUCAAGAUGCCAAAGCAGCUUAUUCACAUACAGCCUUUUAGCUUGGACGCUGAGCAACCAGACUAUGACAUGGACUCGGAUGAUGAAGCAUUUGUGAAUAAAUUAAAAAAGAAAAUUGACAUCACUGCACUGCAAUUUGAGGAGAUGAUUGAUCGACUAGAAAAGGGCAGUGGCCAGCAGUUGGUAACUCUCCAGGAGGCAAAGUUGUUAUUGAAAGAGGAUGAUGACCUGAUCUGGGAAGUGUACGAAUAUUGGAUUCGGAAAAGGAAAAACUGUAGAGGUUGCUCACUUAUUCCAACUGUAAAACAAGAAAAGCGGGAUGGUUCCAGCACCAACGAUCCUUAUGUUGCAUUCAGGAGAAGAACAGAGAAAAUGCAGACUAGAAAGAAUCGUAAAAAUGACGAGGCUUCGUAUGAAAAGAUGUUGAAACUGCGCAGGGAUCUUAGUCGAGCUGUAACUAUCUUGGAGAUGAUUAAACGGCGAGAAAAAAGCAAGAGAGAAUUGUUGCAUCUGACUUUGGAAAUUGUAGAAAAAAGGCACAGUCUCGGUGAUUUCAGUGGAGAGAUUUUAUCAGAGGUCAUGGAACAGCGGCAGCAUGCAAAGCCUACCUACGCAGUGCCCAUUAUUCCAAUAUCAAAUAGCAAUCAAUUUAAACAUCAAGACUUUAUGGAGUUUAAAGAAUUCAAAGUUAAUAAGCAAGAGAAUGUGGAGAUUAUACGACCCAAGCGAAAAUAUGAGAAGAAAAAACAUAAAAUCUCUCAACCAAUUGCUGCUGCACCUCAGCAGCCAAGUCCUGCUGCACUGCCAGUCUUUAAUGCAAAGGAUAUAAACCAGUAUGACUUUCCCAGCUCGGACGAAGAGCCCUUCUCGCAGGUCCAUUCUGCAUCCUCAGAAGCAGAAGAAGAGAAUGAUCCAGAUGGUCCUUUUGCUUUCCGAAGGAAAGCAGGAUGUCAAUACUAUUCACCCCGCUUGGACCAAACGGGCAAUUGGCCAUGGUGUAGUACAGAAGAGGGAGGAUUAGGAGAUGUUCGUUAUAGAUACUGCCUCACUACACUGACUGUUCCCAGGAGGUGUAUUGGUUUUGCACGGAGGCGUGUCGGUCGAGGUGGAAGGAUUUUGUUGGACCGAGCGCACACGGCAAACGACAUUCUUCUUCAUCAGUUGGAUCCUGAGAUCCUCUCUUCCCCACCCCAUUCUCCAUUUAAUGAAUUUGCCAAUACCUCACAAAUAAAUACCUCGGAUCAUCCUUCUAGAGACCUCACUCAGAUUCUAGCAAACAUUAAGGCAUGCCGAUGGCAGCAUUUCAGACCCCGGUCACCAAAUCUUCAGGACAAUGAUGGUGAUGAACUGUCCUCCCGAAAGCUGUAUCGGGGUGUAAAUCGAAUCGUAACAGCACAACUUGGGACCCAGCCAUGUAGUACCUCUGUCUCCAGCAAAAGCAGUGGCACUGGUUCAACACAGAAUAGUGCAUUUACAGCAGAACAAUACCAGCAACAUCAACAGCAACUAUUACUGAUGCAGAAACAACAACUUGCACAGAUUCAGCAGCAGCUAGCACAUAGUAAUUCAGGCUCCAAUUCUUCACAGGGUUCUGUUUCAAAAACAUUGGAUUCAGUCAGUGCACAAUUUGCAGCCUCAGCUUUAAUGACAUCAGAGCAAUUGAUGGCAUACAAGGCAAAGGAGGAAGUGGUGCUUGGAAUCAAUGGUGUCCUUCAAGCCUCAGGAUCGUACAAGGGCUUACACCUCACUAGUACCACGCCAACAGCACUUGUACAAACCAGUCAAUCAUCAUCAUUAUCAGCAGGUUCAGCCUUACUGCCAUCCUGCAGCAACACACAGACAACAACAUCCCAUACAGCACUGAGUCACCAUGGAAAUACUACGAACUCAAGUCCUCAGGUUUUGCUUGGCAACAGCCUUCGUAUAGGUGUACCCAGCUCAGUAGCUGCUGUUAAUUCUGUCACCAGUCUGAAUGCUCGACAUAUACCACGAACUUUAAAUACUGUUCCAACAGCUGCCUUAAAACUGGCUUCAGCAGCAAAUUGUCAGGUGCCCAAGGUUGCAGGCUCCACCUCCAUGGAUGGAGUACCAAGGAAGUGUCUCUCCAUAAACACGUCAUUGGCUCUGCAAUUCAUAGCGCCAUAGAGACGUGAUGUUGCCACCCAGAAGGUGAAAUAGGAGUCAUAAAUGGAGACUUUACUACAGCACAUCGGGAAACUUUAAGGGUAGGAGCAGGAGGUUGGGAGGGAAAACCAUGACACUGAAAAGCCAGCACUAAACAGUAUAGCAGACAAUACAGUGGCGAUGGAAGUAACGUAGUGUCCACAAAGACGGCUGCAGCCUUGGGAACUCAUUUAAGUGCUAUGCAUCAAUAGCGUUUGUGAAUGCAAGGGAUGGCAGAAUGCAGCACAUUGCGUUUCCAUGGCAGCUCUGGGGACUUGAUGGCAAUGCACAUCUCAUGCUUUUUUGUUACUGUUGUUAAUAGGAAUUGACAUCUGUAAAUUAUGAUACAGCAAUUAUCUGUACAGUACUACAUAUUUGUAAUACACUUGUAUAUAUGUUACUUGAAUACUGAACUGUUCAUUCGUGAUGCUUUGCACUUGAAAGAAAAACAAAAUUGCAACCAGUAAGAGUGAGAUGUGAGAGAUCUAUAGAGAUGAAGUGUCAUCACAUCAUGUGCAUGGUGCGGAACCUGCUGUUUUAUCUAUUUAUUGUGCUGUGUUUACAGUUUUGUACACUGUACCUUCAUUGGUUCCUGUGCUGUAGUAAAUGUGUUAGGUAGCUGUGGACUCCUUGGUAUUUUGUAAAUGGUGAACAUACUUGGUUCCCCUCUGGGUCCCUGAGUUUCUGUGUAUCAUGUAAAAAUGGUGACAUACAUACAGAUUUGAAAAUUAAGGCAUCGGUUUGUAAAUGGGGAUGGAACUACUUCAUGGAGACAUAGGGAUCUUCCACUUAUAUUUGUUCUAACGCAAGUAACAAGCUGGAAAUGAAGUCACACUUUUUUUUCAGAAGCAGAGAAGCUUCUGCAAAAUUAUUUUAGCACUAAUUAUUUUCUAUGCUGCUUAGAUUUUUUUGCUCAUUUGAGUUUAAACAAAUUGAACCUCCUUCAAACAAAUCUGAGCUGUAUCAGAGUUUCCCUUGCUUUUUCAUAUUUCGUUCAUCAUUUUAUUUUUGUAUCUGUUCAAGUUGUAAAUUUCUUGAUUUUGUGCUCCUGUACACACACAGACUUCAUUCUUCACUUGUUCAAAAAGGAGAAGAAACAAAAAGGAGAUAAGGGAGAUGAAUGCAGUAGUUGCUGUACGUGUAUCAUCAUUCCAGUUUCUGAAACAGCCAGCUUUUACUUUCAGAUUCUUGUGAAGGCUGUAAGGCCAGAACCACGAUAUCGGGUGCCUUCCUUUGGAAAUAAUAGACCUCUCUUCUGUGAAGAGAUUGGUACUUAACAGACUACUACUAGUGCUUUGUCAGUACCUGAGUCUGAAUGCCCAUUCCAAUGGCAUAUUUAUCCUCAAGGUUUUUAAUCCCACCUGGAAUUGUGACAGAACUCUCACAAAAUAAACCCAGGGCAUUACAUGUUGACCAACAGCUGUGUUUUUUUUUAAAUUUUGUAUCGUGUGUUGGAGUUAUUUUUCUUGCUACAUUAGAAAGAAAAGUAAUUUGUGUAUUUACAGUAUUUUGUAAUUGAAGCAUUAUGAAAUGUGAGCUCUCACCAUUUUACCAUGCUGGUAAGUUAGAUUUAAAAUCUGGGGGGAAAUUAUGUGGCUGGUAAUGCAUUGAGGAGGUAACUUAUUGGACCACUUCAUAAAUAACUUAAGUUUAUAGCAUACAUCUUUUUCAAGACCUAAUGCUUAUAUUGAAAAAAAAGUAAAUUGAUCCUUGUUGAAUUUCAGUAA